rnacentral:lncRNA from 1 species
CUUGAACCUGGCACCACAGGGGUCUGGAAUUACACAGAAGACGGGUGACAGCCAAGGUGGAUCAUGAACGCUCCCCACCUGUGGAGGGAGAGGUUGAGAUAUUGGAGUCCACGGGUGGUGCCCCCACUCAGUGAUUCCCUUUGCCUGCUGAGCCCCUGGAGCUGGGGUUUCUUCCUCCCUUGCCUUGGCUGGCCACCUGGCUUCUGG